GGUGUGCUUUUGUGGAUGCAAAGGCUCUAAUAAUUGGCACCUCAAGGAUCUCCUAAAGAGAGUUAAAUAACUAAAGGAAUAAGGAUUCCUAAUGCAAGUAGAUGUUGUAUUAAGUGGUUGUUUGAUUUUGAAUAGGAUUCAAAUCUAAUACUUAUUUAAAGGGGCCUUCUCUAAGGCCUCUAGGCAAUUCAACUAGCAGCCCCAUGCCUCUCUUGAAGAGCCCACACCCCUUCUUUCCCUCCCCCCUCUCUUCUCCCUUGG
rnacentral:lncRNA from 1 species